UACGAAGGGGGGCUAGCGUUGCUCGGAAUCACUGGGCGUAAAGGGCGCGUAGGCGGACUCUUAAGUCGGGGGGUGAAAGCCCAGGGCUCAACCCUGGAAUUGCCUUCGAUACUGAGAGUCUUGAGUUCGGAAGAGGUUGGUGGAACUGCGAGUGUAGAGGUGAAAUUCGUAGAUAUUCGCAAGAACACCAGUGGCGAAGGCGGCCAACUGGUCCGAUACUGACGCUGAGGCGCGAAAAGCGUGGGGGAGCAAACAGG
rnacentral:rRNA from 1 species